GUAAACUUAAAAAAGGCUGUUUCGCUUUUUCUGACUAUUCCUGUAAAAGGGAUUGUAUCUGUAUUGCCAGCUUUUCAGGGUUCCUGUAAAGAGCAAGAUAGUGUUAUUUUGACAUUUUUUAAAGGUGAAGUGAGCAACAUUUUGGUGUUCUAAUAGAUCACACUAUUUGCAGGUUCUUUUCUUUGAAUUAUUUUACUAUUAUUAUUUUGGCUGGUUUAUUUCAUCUGCAGUUCUGAAGCAGGUUGAAAUCCCCUUUCCCACAUUACACCUUUAGUCAAUAUUUGAAGGCUUAUUUAUGUAAAUAUGAAGAUCUGUCAGAACUCCCUGCAACCGAAAACCUGACCCCCAAAUGCAUCAUGAUAAACAGUCACUAACCGAAAUAACAAAACAGCUUCCUGGAACAUGCUUGCUCAGAACCGUCAAGAAAAGCUCCAGAAAUAUUGGUUUGACCUCUGUCUCCUCCUACACACAGCCUGACCUUCAAAGAUCAAACAUUGUAGCAAAUACAACCUUCAUCUUGUAAUCCUCCCACUUGUCACAGUUCUCUGUUAUCAGCAGAGGCCCUGGGCCAACCAUGGCUUAUGUCUGAAGAGGAGUGGGUGCAAUCCCUAGGUUAUUCUACCUUUGUGAUGCUGGUACAAGACACCUUCUCCCCUGGAUGUUCUGAUAGGGUGAUCUUCUGAGUUUUGCUUGAGUCUGACUUUACUACAGUAAACCAAAAUACAGGCCUACAAGUAGUAAAAUAUCUCAUUUUCCUAUAUGGAGCUAAAGAUACACAGGGCAGAAAGAACAAGUUAAUUAAAAAGUCAUAAUUCUUUCAGUGGUGGUGGUGUUGUUCUCAUUUAGUCACCAAGUCAUGUCUGACGCUUUGCGACCCCAUGGACUGUUGCUGGCCAGGUUCCUCUGUUCAUGGCGUUUUCCAGGCAAGAACACUGGAGUGGGUUGUCACUUCCGCCUCCGUCCAUGAUGUUUUCCAGGCAAGAAUGCUGGUGUGGGUUGUCAUCUCCUUCUCCAGGGGAUCUUCCUGACUGGAUGAAUGUGGGAUUGAACCCAUGUCUCCUGUCUCCUGCAUUGGCAGGCAGAUUCUUUACCACUGAGCCACCAGGGAAGCCCUCUUUUAGUGUUAAUAUGAGUGAAAUAAUAGUAUCAAUAACAAAGAUAGGCCUGUGUAAGAAGGACGAGUCUGCCCUGUCACUUGGUCAGAUGACACAUGUCUGACAAUGUAGGAGCCAGAGGAAUGGACAAUGUCUGGAGGGCCUCAGGCAGCAAGGUGAAGUCCUGCUGGUGUGUCAUUUUGCAUCAGCUGUGAACCUGUGGAG
ensembl:lncRNA